rnacentral:rRNA from 1 species
UACGAAGGGGGGCUAGCGUUGCUCGGAAUCACUGGGCGUAAAGGGUGCGUAGGCGGGUCUUUUAAGUCAGGGGUGAAAUCCUGGAGCUCAACUCCAGAACUGCCUUUGAUACUGAAGAUCUUGAGUUCGGGAGAGGUGAGUGGAACUGCGAGUGUAGAGGUGAAAAUUUCGUAGAUAUUUGCAAGAACACCAGUGGCGAAGGCGGCUCACUGGCCCGAUACUGACGCUGAG